rnacentral:lncRNA from 1 species
ACAUCCCUGGCCAGCCACCAGCCUCCUGGAAGAUGCCUGCCUCCCAAACUCACAGAGCCGGAGAGCCCUGGCAAGCAGCUUCAUCCUGCGGACCUUAAACCUCGCACCACUCAGGCUGGCCCUCAGGCAAGUAGAAGAAUGAGUUCCACCUGGGCGGAGUUCCACCUGGGCAGAGAGGUCUUGGCUCACAGGCACCGGGAGAGCUGGAAGGCUGCGGGGAAGCCGAGGAAGGCCAACACACCGCACAACACGGCAGAUCCCAAGUCUCUGUGGCCUGGUGAAGAGAAACUGCAGUGUGCAGGGAACAGGGUAAUACAGGGCUACGGGGACACAGGAGCGAGGCCCAGCACUGAGCUCGAUCCGGUUCCAUCGACACGAAAUUCUAGAAGAGGCACAGCGAGUGAGUGAAAGCAGAUCUUUUUGCCAGGGGCCAACAGUAGGGGAAUUUUGGGAGUUUGGAAAUAUUCGACAUCACAACUGGGCCCGCCACUACUCAGUGUGCACAC